rnacentral:rRNA from 1 species
UACGAAGGACCCGAGCGUUAUCCGGAUUCAUUGGGUUUAAAGGGUGCGUAGGCGGACUUUCAAGUCAGUGGUGAAAGCCCAUCGCUUAACGAUGGAAUUGCCAUUGAUACUGUUGGUCUUGAGUACGGUUGAAGUGGGCGGAAUGUGUCAUGUAGCGGUGAAAUGCUUAGAUAUGACACAGAACACCUAUUGCGUAGGCAGCUCGCUAAGCCGUAACUGACGCUGAGGCACGAAAGUGUGGGUAGCAAACAGG